UUAAGUUAUUAAGGGCGCACGGUGGAUGCCUUGGCACUAGAAGCCGAUGAAGGACGUUACUAACGACGAUAUGCUUUGGGGAGCUGUAAGUAAGCUUUGAUCCAGAGAUUUCCGAAUGGGGAAACCCAGCAUGAGUUAUGUCAUGUUAUCGAUAUGUGAAUACAUAGCAUAUCAGAAGGCACACCCGGAGAACUGAAACAUCUUAGUACCCGGAGGAAGAAAAAGAAAAUUCGAUUCCCUUAGUAGCGGCGAGCGAAACGGGAAGAGCCCAAACCAACAAGCUUGCUUGUUGGGGUUGUAGGACACUCUAUACGGAGUUACAAAGGACGACAUUAGACGAAUCAUCUGGAAAGAUGAAUCAAAGAAGGUAAUAAUCCUGUAGUCGAAAAUGUUGUCUCUCUUGAGUGGAUCCUGAGUACGACGGAACACGUGAAAUUCCGUCGGAAUCUGGGAGGACCAUCUCCUAAGGCUAAAUACUCUCUAGUGACCGAUAGUGAACCAGUACCGUGAGGGAAAGGUGAAAAGCACCCCGGAAGGGGAGUGAAAUAGAACCUGAAACCGUGUGCUUACAAGUAGUCAGAGCCCGUUAAUGGGUGAUGGCGUGCCUUUUGUAGAAUGAACCGGCGAGUUACGAUUUGAUGCAAGGUUAAGCAGUAAAUGUGGAGCCGUAGCGAAAGCGAGUCUGAAUAGGGCGUUUAGUAUUUGGUCGUAGACCCGAAACCAGGUGAUCUACCCUUGGUCAGGUUGAAGUUCAGGUAACACUGAAUGGAGGACCGAACCGACUUACGUUGAAAAGUGAGCGGAUGAACUGAGGGUAGCGGAGAAAUUCCAAUCGAACCUGGAGAUAGCUGGUUCUCUCCGAAAUAGCUUUAGGGCUAGCCUCAAGUGAUGAUUAUUGGAGGUAGAGCACUGUUUGGACGAGGGGCCCCUCUCGGGUUACCGAAUUCAGACAAACUCCGAAUGCCAAUUAAUUUAACUUGGGAGUCAGAACAUGGGUGAUAAGGUCCGUGUUCGAAAGGGAAACAGCCCAGACCACCAGCUAAGGUCCCAAAAUAUAUGUUAAGUGGAAAAGGAUGUGGCGUUGCCCAGACAACUAGGAUGUUGGCUUAGAAGCAGCCAUCAUUUAAAGAGUGCGUAAUAGCUCACUAGUCGAGUGACACUGCGCCGAAAAUGUACCGGGGCUAAACAUAUUACCGAAGCUGUGGAUUGUCCUUUGGACAAUGGUAGGAGAGCGUUCUAAGGGCGUUGAAGCAUGAUCGUAAGGACAUGUGGAGCGCUUAGAAGUGAGAAUGCCGGUGUGAGUAGCGAAAGACGGGUGAGAAUCCCGUCCACCGAUUGACUAAGGUUUCCAGAGGAAGGCUCGUCCGCUCUGGGUUAGUCGGGUCCUAAGCUGAGGCCGACAGGCGUAGGCGAUGGAUAACAGGUUGAUAUUCCUGUACCACCUAUAAUCGUUUUAAUCGAUGGGGGGACGCAGUAGGAUAGGCGAAGCGUGCGAUUGGAUUGCACGUCUAAGCAGUAAGGCUGAGUAUUAGGCAAAUCCGGUACUCGUUAAGGCUGAGCUGUGAUGGGGAGAAGACAUUGUGUCUUCGAGUCGUUGAUUUCACACUGCCGAGAAAAACCUCUAGAUAGAAAAUAGGUGCCCGUACCGCAAACCGACACAGGUAGUCAAGAUGAGAAUUCUAAGGUGAGCGAGCGAACUCUCGUUAAGGAACUCGGCAAAAUGACCCCGUAACUUCGGGAGAAGGGGUGCUCUUUAGGGUUAACGCCCAGAAGAGCCGCAGUGAAUAGGCCCAAGCGACUGUUUAUCAAAAACACAGGUCUCUGCUAAACCGUAAGGUGAUGUAUAGGGGCUGACGCCUGCCCGGUGCUGGAAGGUUAAGAGGAGUGGUUAGCUUCUGCGAAGCUACGAAUCGAAGCCCCAGUAAACGGCGGCCGUAACUAUAACGGUCCUAAGGUAGCGAAAUUCCUUGUCGGGUAAGUUCCGACCCGCACGAAAGGCGUAACGAUUUGGGCACUGUCUCAACGAGAGACUCGGUGAAAUCAUAGUACCUGUGAAGAUGCAGGUUACCCGCGACAGGACGGAAAGACCCCGUGGAGCUUUACUGUAGCCUGAUAUUGAAAUUCGGCACAGCUUGUACAGGAUAGGUAGGAGCCUUUGAAACGUGAGCGCUAGCUUACGUGGAGGCGCUGGUGGGAUACUACCCUAGCUGUGUUGGCUUUCUAACCCGCACCACUUAUCGUGGUGGGAGACAGUGUCAGGCGGGCAGUUUGACUGGGGCGGUCGCCUCCUAAAAGGUAACGGAGGCGCUCAAAGGUUCCCUCAGAAUGGUUGGAAAUCAUUCAUAGAGUGUAAAGGCAUAAGGGAGCUUGACUGCGAGACCUACAAGUCGAGCAGGGUCGAAAGACGGACUUAGUGAUCCGGUGGUUCCGCAUGGAAGGGCCAUCGCUCAACGGAUAAAAGCUACCCCGGGGAUAACAGGCUUAUCUCCCCCAAGAGUUCACAUCGACGGGGAGGUUUGGCACCUCGAUGUCGGCUCAUCGCAUCCUGGGGCUGUAGUCGGUCCCAAGGGUUGGGCUGUUCGCCCAUUAAAGCGGUACGCGAGCUGGGUUCAGAACGUCGUGAGACAGUUCGGUCCCUAUCCGUCGUGGGCGUAGGAAAUUUGAGAGGAGCUGUCCUUAGUACGAGAGGACCGGGAUGGACAUACCUCUGGUGUACCAGUUGUCGUGCCAACGGCAUAGCUGGGUAGCUAUGUGUGGACGGGAUAAGUGCUGAAAGCAUCUAAGCAUGAAGCCCCCCUCAAGAUGAGAUUUCCCAACUUCGGUUAUAAGAUCCCUCAAAGAUGAUGAGGUUAAUAGGUUCGAGGUGGAAGCAUGGUGACAUGUGGAGCUGACGAAUACUAAUCGAUCGAAGACUUAAUCAA
rnacentral:rRNA from 1 species